rnacentral:lncRNA from 1 species
GACAAAGGCUGCAGACUGACACACCUAUGCAACUCUCCUCCUGCCCAGGCCUUGGAAGUCACCGGCAACCCCUGCCCCUCCAAACUCAGACACGUCCUCAGGAUCUCUCUCAACACAGUACUGCAGGCAACCACAACUGGGCAGCCCAAGUGGGUGAGCAAGAUCAAUGCGGAAUUGCAAGGGGCCUCAAGUAGCAAAAACAACCUUCAAAAAGAAGAACAAAGUCAGAGGAGUUACACUUUCUGAUUUCAAAUUUACUACAAAGCUACAGCUGUUAAAACAGUGUAAAACUGGCAUAGGGAUAGACAUAUAAAUCAAUAGAAUAAAAUUCAGAGUCGUUUAAGGCCAGUUAAUUUUUGUCAUGGAUGCCAAGCUCAUUCAAUGGGGAAAGAACAGUCUUUUCUACAAAUGUUACUGGGACAACUUGAUUUCUGCAUGCAAAAGAUGAGGUUGGACCCCUACCUCACACUAUAGGCAAAAAUUAACUCAAAAUGGAUCAAUACCCUAAAUAUAAGAGCAAAAGCUGCAAAACUCUUAGAAGAAAGCAUAGUGGUAGAUCUUCAUGACCUUGGAUAUGGCAAUGGAUUCUUAGAUAUGAUAUCAAAAUCUCAAGUAAGAAUAACAAUAACAACAAAAAACAGAUAAAUUAGACUUCAUCAAAUUUAAAACUUUUGUGCACCAAACAACAUUAUCAAGAAAGUGAAAAGACAACCACAGAAUGGGAGAAAACACCUGCAA